rnacentral:rRNA from 1 species
ACCUGUGACCCGGGCAUUUCUGAAUGGGGAAACCCACCCACGGUAACGUGGGUAUCCCACACUGAAUCCAUAGGUGUUGGGAGGCGAACCGGGGGAACUGAAACAUCUCAGUACCCCGAGGAAAAGAAAUCAACCGAGAUUCCCCCAGUAGCGGCGAGCGAACGGGGACUAGCCCUUAAGCGGCACGACUGAUAGGCGAACAGGCUGGGAAGCCUGACCAUAGCGGGUGAUAGUCCCGUAGCCGAAAUCUGAGUGUCGUGAAAUCGAGUAGGUCGGGGCACGAGAAACCUUGACUGAAGACGGGGGGACCAUCCUCCAAGGCUAAAUACUCCUGGCUGACCGAUAGUGAACCAGUACCGUGAGGGAAAGGCGAAAAGAACCCCGGAGAGGGGAGUGAAAUAGAUCCUGAAACCGUAUGCGUACAAGCAGUGGGAGCAUGCACGUCAUGUGACCGCGUACCUUUUGUAUAAUGGGUCAGCGACUUAUUUUCAGUGGCGAGCUUAACCGACUAGGGGAGGCGUAGCGAAAGCGAGUCUUAACUGGGCGACCAGUCGCUGGGAAUAGACCCGAAACCGGGCGAUCUAUCCAUGAGCAGGUUGAAGGUUGAGUAACAUCAACUGGAGGACCGAACCAGGAUCUGUUGAAAAAGAUUUGGAUGACUUGUGGAUCGGAGUGAAAGGCUAAUCAAGCCCGGAGAUAGCUGGUUCUCCUCGAAAGCUAUUUAGGUAGCGCCUCACGUAGCACCGCCGGGGGUAGAGCACUGUUUCGGCUAGGGGGUCAUCCCGACUUACCAACCCGAGGCAAACUCCGAAUACCGGUGAGUGACGCGUGGGAGACACACAGCGGGUGCUAACGUCCGUUGUGAAAAGGGAAACAACCCAGACCGUCAGCUAAGGUCCCGAAAUCCUGGUUAAGUGGGAAACGAUGUGGGAAGGCUCAGACAGCUAGGAGGUUGGCUUAGAAGCAGCCAUCCUUUAAAGAAAGCGUAAUAGCUCACUAGUCGAGUCGGCCUGCGCGGAAGAUGUAACGGGGCUCAAACCAGGUACCGAAGCUACGGGU